rnacentral:rRNA from 1 species
UACGGAGGGGGCUAGCGUUGUUCGGAAUUACUGGGCGUAAAGCGCACGUAGGUGGCUUUGUAAGUUAGAGGUGAAAGCCCGGAGCUUAACUCCGGAACUGCCUUUAAGACUGCAUCGCUAGAAUUGUGGAGAGGUGAGUGGAAUUCCGAGUGUAGAGGUGAAAUUCGUAGAUAUUCGGAAGAACACCAGUGGCGAAGGCGACUCACUGGACACAUAUUGACGCUGAGGUGCGAAAGCGUGGGGAGCAAACAGG